UACGUAGGGUGCGGGCGUUAAUCGGAAUUACUGGGCGUAAAGCGUGCGCAGGCGGUUUGGUAAGACAGAUGUGAAAUCCCCGGGCUUAACCUGGGAAUUGCAUUUGUGACUGCCCGGCUAGAGUGUGUCAGAGGGGGGUAGAAUUCCACGUGUAGCAGUGAAAUGCGUAGAUAUGUGGAGGAAUACCGAUGGCGAAGGCAGCCCCCUGGGAUAACACUGACGCUCAUGCACGAAAGCGUGGGGAGCAAACAGG
rnacentral:rRNA from 1 species